rnacentral:rRNA from 1 species
GAUGAACGCUGGCGGCAGGCUUAACACAUGCAAGUCGAGCGGAGCGAGGGUGCUUGCACCUUAGCUUAGCGGCGGACGGGUGAGUAAUGCUUAGGAAUCUGCCUAUUAGUGGGGGACAACAUUCCGAAAGGAAUGCUAAUACCGCAUACGCCCUACGGGGGAAAGCAGGGGAUCUUCGGACCUUGCGCUAAUAGAUGAGCCUAAGUCGGAUUAGCUAGUUGGUGGGGUAAAGGCAUACCAAGGCGACGAUCUGUAGCGGGUCUGAGAGGAUGGUCCGCCACACUGGUACUGAGACACGGCCCAGACUCCUACGGGAGGCAGCAGUGGGGAAUAUUGGACAAUGGGCGGAAGCCUGAUCCAGCCAUGCCGCGUGUGUGAAGAAGGCCUUUUGGUUGUAAAGCACUUUAAGCGAGGAGGAGGCUACUUAGAUUAAUACUCUGGGAUAGUGGACGUUACUCGCAGAAUAAGCACCGGCUAACCCUGUGCCAGCCGCCGCAGUAA